ensembl:lncRNA
CGCAUAACAGGUAAAAGUUACCUUUCUAUCAUUAAUAUAUUAACAAACAUUAAAGGGAAUAAUUUUAGUGUCAGUUGCGCUGACUUGUAUUUUUAAUGUAUUUUUCAAAGUCGUGUCAGUCUAGUAAUUGUAUUAUCAGUGUGCAAAUAAGUGGGAUGUUUGAAGGAAAUAGCAGUUUGAAUCGGGUGAUGCCUUCUGGUUCCUGGUAGGCUGUGGAGAGCAGCACUGGGGUGCUGAUGGUGCUGGGGAAUGGGAGGAGUGAAGAGGCGGCAGGAGGUGAGUCUGCGGCAGCGGGGGUGAGGCCCUGGCUCACAGAGAAUUAUCCAAAGAGUUGAAAGUGAUAAAACCCCACACAGAUCAAUCAAAUAUGUUACAACUAAUUCGUAAGUUAGGCAGCCUGGCAUCGACAGUGAUACAAAAAUGCUCCCCAAUUAAGUCUGCUCAUUUCCAAGAAGUGGGAAUAGUCCUUUGGGUCAUUCCACAAUUCUUUUAGUGCUGGGCAGUAUAAAAUAUGUUUUUAAUUUCCAUUUUUUUUUUGCAGAUUAUCAUUUUCAAGUCCUAUAGAGCCUUGAGAGAGUAAUACCCUCCACUGAUGCUUGUAAUGGCCCAUAAAAAUUAUGGGAAACAGAAAUCAGAAACAUUUUUGUGAGCUGACAGUGGAUGAUCCGGUACAAAAGAGAAGCAAUUACACAAAAGCAUCCUUCUUUCAGAAAUGUGUGUUGGAGUCCUCGGCUCUUCCAUCGUCUCCCAUCUUCUUUCUACUGAGUCCCUUCACAGGACUGGGGAGAACAGAGACAGCUACUAAUUGCAAUCACCCAUGGAGGGGAAAGGAAGAAGUGCAUGUUUCUGAAUAUAACAUUAAUGCUACAGGUCUUGUAUGUUAAUUUGUCUGACAACAUCUGUAUAUAAGGAAUCAGGAGUAAAUAUGCCCAGCUGCUGACCUGAUAAAUAGCUGCAUGGCUGAGCUGUGUAAGGAAUACAAUUCUGCUUCUGUUAACUUGGUGCUUCAGAGAGUGGCAAGUAUAGUCAAACUGGUGCACAAAUGACCUCAGAUCUUUCCUGGUUGUAUAAGAAAAAAAAAAAACAACUCACAAGACUGUGUGGUAGGACAAAAUAAUUUCUACUCCAUUAAAUAGCCGUUACUAAGGUGUCUUUCAGCUACAAACUAUAAUUUCAGCUACCUAGGAGUACGGAAAUUGGUUCUAUUAUAUGGGAAUCUUUCUUCCUUUUUAGAGUGCAAGAUAGCCUCAAUUACCAAUGAUAAUAUAAGGUCCGGCUUCCAACUACCAGUAAUUACUGCAGGCUUUUAAAAUUUUGCUCUGCUGUUAAGUAUCGUUCAUUUUAAAUUGUGUAUAUUUGUGCUUUUUUUUUUUUUUCUGUGUUAAGUAAGCCAAGGAAAACCAACCAACCAGCAGUUUAGCCAAAUUGUCCAGUUAUGUAUAUGCUAUUAGAAAGUAUGAAUUUCAGAUAGCCACUAUACUACAGUAUGGCACAAAAACUAAUUUGUUUUACAGUUUUGUCUUAAUAUCUUGGGUAAAAAGCUGGAGAAGUAUUGGGUACAGAAAAAAAUAUUUUGCAUAAGUCUGUUGCAUUCUAGUCUGGUCAUGUUUUGUACAGAUGUGAGGGUGAGGGCAGGAGGGAAUAAGUCACAUGCAGCAUGUGAGGUUGCGGGGUCUGGGAAGGAAGGUGGAAAGGUGUGGUUCCUGCUGCUAUGGAUGUUACAGCAGCAUAGGUCAAGAGCUGGAGUUGCUCUGAAGGACUUAAGUUCCCCAGAGCUUCACAAGCAAGAUCCUUUUGGAUCUAAUGUUAGCAGGCUUUUGGAUAGGACA